rnacentral:ncRNA from 2 species
GCACAUGGGUUAGUCGAUCCUAAG